rnacentral:rRNA from 1 species
GGUGGAUCAGUGGCGAACGGGUGAGUAACACGUGAGCAACCUGCCCUGGACUCUGGGAUAAGCGCUGGAAACGGCGUCUAAUACUGGAUAUGAGCUCUCAUCGCAUGGUGGGGGUUGGAAAGAUUUUUCGGUCUGGGAUGGGCUCGCGGCCUAUCAGCUUGUUGGUGAGGUAAUGGCUCACCAAGGCGUCGACGGGUAGCCGGCCUGAGAGGGUGACCGGCCACACUGGGACUGAGACACGGCCCAGACUCCUACGGGAGGCAGCAGUGGGGAAUAUUGCACAAUGGGCGGAAGCCUGAUGCAGCAACGCCGCGUGAGGGAUGACGGCCUUCGGGUUGUAAACCUCUUUUAGCAGGGAAGAAGCGAGAGUGACGGUACCUGCAGAAAAAGCGCCGGCUAACUACGUGCCAGCAGCCGCGGUAAUACGUAGGGCGCAAGCGUUAUCCGGAAUUAUUGGGCGUAAAGAGCUCGUAGGCGGUUUGUCGCGUCUGCUGUGAAAUCCCGAGGCUCAACCUCGGGCCUGCAGUGGGUACGGGCAGACUAGAGUGCGGUAGGGGAGAUUGGAAUUCCUGGUGUAGCGGUGGAAUGCGCAGAUAUCAGGAGGAACACCGAUGGCGAAGGCAGAUCUCUGGGCCGUAACUGACGCUGAGGAGCGAAAGGGUGGGGAGCAAACAGGCUUAGAUACCCUGGUAGUCCACCCCGUAAACGUUGGGAACUAGUUGUGGGGACCAUUCCACGGUUUCCGUGACGCAGCUAACGCAUUAAGUUCCCCGCCUGGGGAGUACGGCCGCAAGGCUAAAACUCAAAGGAAUUGACGGGGACCCGCACAAGCGGCGGAGCAUGCGGAUUAAUUCGAUGCAACGCGAAGAACCUUACCAAGGCUUGACAUACACCAGAACACCGUAGAAAUACGGGACUCUUUGGACACUGGUGAACAGGUGGUGCAUGGUUGUCGUCAGCUCGUGUCGUGAGAUGUUGGGUUAAGUCCCGCAACGAGCGCAACCCUCGUUCUAUGUUGCCAGCACGUAAUGGUGGGAACUCAUGGGAUACUGCCGGGGUCAACUCGGAGGAAGGUGGGGAUGACGUCAAAUCAUCAUGCCCCUUAUGUCUUGGGCUUCACGCAUGCUACAAUGGCCGGUACAAAGGGCUGCAAUACCGUGAGGUGGAGCGAAUCCCAAAAAGCCGGUCCCAGUUCGGAUUGAGGUCUGCAACUCGACCUCAUGAAGUCGGAGUCGCUAGUAAUCGCAGAUCAGCAACGCUGCGGUGAAUACGUUCCCGGGUCUUGUACACACCGCCCGUCAAGUCAUGAAAGUCGGUAACACCUGAAGCCGGUGGCCCAACC